rnacentral:tRNA from 1 species
GGGGCUGUGGGCUAAUUUGGCUAUGCUUCGAGGUUUGGGACCUCGCGAUCUCGGUUCAAAUCCGGGCAGCCCCA